UACGUAGGGUGCAAGCGUUAAUCGGAAUUACUGGGCGUAAAGCGUGCGCAGGCGGUGAUGUAAGACAGGUGUGAAAUCCCCGGGCUUAACCUGGGAACUGCAUUUGUGACUGCAUCGCUGGAGUGCGGCAGAGGGGGAUGGAAUUCCGCGUGUAGCAGUGAAAUGCGUAGAUAUGCGGAGGAACACCGAUGGCGAAAGCGGCUUCCUGGUCCAGCACCGACGUUCAGGCACGAAAGCGUGGGGAGCAAACAGG
rnacentral:rRNA from 1 species